CCAGAGGAUCGGACGGCCGCCGCCACGCGAGUGGGGGAGGAAAGUCCGGGCUCCACGCAACGACGGUGCCGGGUAACCCCCGGCGGGGGCGACCCCAGGGACAGUGCCACAGAGAGCAGACCGCCGAUGGCCUUUCGGGGCACAGGCAAGGCUGAAAGGGUGGGGUAAGAGCCCACCGCGCGGAGGGUAACCCGAGCGGCCAGGUAAACCCCACCGGGAGCAAGACCGCAUAGGGGCGGCGUGUGGGGUUUCGGCUCCGCAGGGCAGGAAGCGGCCCAGUCGCCCGGGUUGGUUGCUUGAGGCGGCUGGUAACAGUCGCCCUAGAGGAAUGGCCGUCCAGGGGGUCCGCCCCCGGACAGAACCCGGCUUACAGAUCCUCUGGCGCG
rnacentral:RNase_P_RNA from 1 species